AAACGGGCUUCGCAUAGUAUUCGGUUUAUGGACUUACUUCGGGGCAGUAUUUGGUUUUUAGUGGGCUACGGAUUAGAGCAACCGUCGUCUUCUACGAGAUCCAUCGUUUGAGGGCGCUUCCUAUUCCGGCGUUGGUUUUUGUUUCUCGAUCUUUAUGACUCUACGCACGAUCUCUUCGGACGUCAUGAUUCCGCUUCCUGUAACGGAUUCUUCGGACAUCGAUUACUCACGAUCUGAUUCGUUAUCUUAUGCCCAUUUUCCUUGGAAGACCACUUUAUGUUCUUCAGUCUCUAAUGUCUGAAUGUUUCGACAAGUGACCGACCGGUCAGAGCAAAGCGGUAGAAAGAAGAGAACAGUGAUUCUUCUUCGCUUCAAUUCCAAGACAAGUCUUCAUCUUUCCGAGAUCGAAGAUCUUUCUUUUCAUGUAAUUUGAUAGAAAGCUGAGAUUUUUUAAAUCAGAGAAGAGGGACAACAAAAACGUCAUCGUUUGUGACAACGGCACCGGCGUAAGCUUUCGCUAUCUCUUGCUCUUCUUUCAGAUUCCGAUUGGUUGAUCCCACGAGCCCUUUUACUUGAAUCUGAUAAGACAUUACACUUUGCUGGGUUUCAUUAAAAAUCACACCUUUGUCCUUAUCUAGAUUUGUUUUGGAUCUUAGUUGUCUGAAAAUUUUACAAAAACUGAAGACUUCUGAGAUGGUUGCUGGCCGGAUCCUCUGCUUUUGGGAUUCAAGGAACAUGAAGAAAAAUGGUGCAUUUGUGGGUAUCAGUCUCCCCCUGCUAGAUGAAAAGUUUUCUUUUAGGUGCAAAACUUCGACUGAUAAAGGUUAAGAUCGAGACGAUGAGUCUCACUCUGGUGAAUCAACCGGAGUUUCAUUUCUCAAGAAAACGAGUCGGGACAACGACUGAACCAGUGAAUCGUUCGGUACCACCUGAUAGAGACUGAUCAAAAAGAAUGCAGCUCUGCCAUCUGCUGAGUGAUCUGCAUCACAAGAGACUUGUGGUAGAGUAGAUGUGGAAGGCAUGGACCUUCAAAGAACUCCUAGAAAACUCAUUGCAUGUUGUGAUAUUUCCUUUAUUUUAGGUGUAGUAGAAGGUUCAUGGAUAUAUUAUAUAUCUAUGUCCUUUGUAGUUAGUGGUAAAGACAAUCGUACAACACAAAUAAAUUUAAACAUUGCAUAUUAAAAUUUUAUUGGUUGAUUCAAAA